CACAGAUACACACACUGACACACAUGUAGAUAUACAGACACUCACACUGAAACAUGUGCAGAUAUAUAUAUUUACAUAUUCAUACACAUUCAGACACACAUAUACACACACUGACACAGAGAAAAAAUACAAACUAAUACGCAUACAGACACACAGAUACACACACACACAUACAUACAGACACAGACAAACAAAGAUACAAAUACUGAAACACAUACAGAUAGAGAUACACAGAAACACACUGACC